UUCCCUUGGCCACCCCGGCUGGUGUCUCACAAGGUUGCAUGCCACCAACAUCCGCUGGCUUUGAAUCCAACACAGCACCAGGACUUGCCCAGGAAUUGCAGUCCCUGUUGCCUUUCAAGUUUAUUUAGGACUUCAGAGUACUUUAACCCACAAUGGGAGAAUGAUUGGUGAAGGCUUCUAUUUGGUCAACUUGCUCUGUCUUUAUAGCCAAUUUAUAUUGAUAAGAGUUUCUCUCUAGAUACCAUUUGCGGUAUUCCUGAGUCAGAAGAGAGGAAAGGUGAUACUGCCACCCCCUGGAGUCGUCUCUCAAGAGGACUUGAUCUCUGGCCUGUGAACUGCCCCACAUGUUUCUUCUGCACAUCCUGACUCCCAGGCCUGCACAGGGGACUUCUGCACAGGCCUGACUCCCAGGCCUGACAUUUUCUGGUCUGUCUUCGCCAUGGUCUGCUAUCAACUGCAGUUUUGAAUUCUGGUUUCUCUUAUUCUUUGUCUCUAGGCAAGUCAACAGGUUCAGCAGCCAGAGUCCUAUCCUGUACUUCUCUUCACGUUGCAGACAUCCACGAAAGAGUGAGACUGUUUUCGGUUGGAUUGAAGAGCAAAUGUGUGGAAGGCACCAAGGGUCUCACUCUGUCACCUAGGCUGCAGUGCAGU
rnacentral:lncRNA from 1 species